rnacentral:rRNA from 1 species
UAGGGAAUCUUCGGCAAUGGACGAAAAUCUGACCGAGCAACGCCGCGUGAGUGAAGAAGGUUUUCGGAUCGUAAAACUCUGUUGUUAGAGAAGAACAAGGACGUUAGUAACUGAACGUCCCCUGACGGUAUCUAACCAGAAAGCCACGGCUAACUACGUGCCAGCAGCCGCGGUAAUACGUAGGUGGCAAGCGUUGUCCGGAUUUAUUGGGCGUAAAGCGAGCGCAGGCGGUUUCUUAAGUCUGAUGUGAAAGCCCCCGGCUCAACCGGGGAGGGUCAUUGGAAACUGGGAGACUUGAGUGCAGAAGAGGAGAGUGGAAUUCCAUGUGUAGCGGUGAAAUGCGUAGAUAUAUGGAGGAACACCAGUGGCGAAGGCGGCUCUCUGGUCUGUAACUGACGCUGAGGCUCGAAAGCGUGGGGAGCAAACAGG